GUGCCAGCCGCCGCGGUAAUACGUAGGGGGCAAGCGUUGUCCGGAAUUAUUGGGCGUAAAGCGCGCGCAGGCGGUCAUUUAAGUCUGGUGUUUAAACCUUGGGCUCAACCUGAGGUCGCACUGGAAACUGGGUGACUUGAGUACAGAAGAGGAAAGUGGAAUUCCACGUGUAGCGGUGAAAUGCGUAGAUAUGUGGAGGAACACCAGUGGCGAAGGCGACUUUCUGGGCUGUAACUGACGCUGAGGCGCGAAAGCGUGGGGAGCAAACAGGAUUAGAUACCCUGGUAGUCC
rnacentral:rRNA from 1 species